rnacentral:rRNA from 1 species
UACAGAGGUGGCAAGCGUUGUUCGGAAUUACUGGGCGUAAAGGGCGCGUAGGCGGCCCGUCAAGUCCCGUGUGAAAGCCCCCGGCUCAACCGGGGAACGGCGCGGGAAACUAGCAGGCUUGAGUUCGGGAGAGGGAAGCGGAAUUCCGGGUGUAGCGGUGAAAUGCGCAGAUAUCCGGAGGAACACCGGUGGCGAAGGCGGCUUCCUGGACCGACACUGACGCUGAGGCGCGAAAGCGUGGGGAGCAAACGGG